AUGUUUCCUGAACACAAAAUGGCGACACGUGGUUAGCAUUCGUCGCCAACGAGAAAUUGGGGUCGGCCCGAAAGCUCUAGAAUGCACCCCCCUUCUUCCCCGGGGCCUUCCACCUCCGCGAGUUUUAUGACUUAAAAAACCCCACAGGCUGGUCUGAAGACUUCCUAGCAUGGGCUGUUGUGCUGGAGAGAACGAGAGCUACGAAGAGACUACAAUGCCUCUGACUUUUUCAUAGGACAGUUGGCCGAGGAAGACAAACAUAAAGAUGAAGUGCUUAAUUCAAGGUCACACAAUGUCGGGGAUGGACCUCCAGAUUUCCUUACUGACCUGCAUUAUCUUGUGGAUACCUGAGUGAAUUCCACACCACCCAUUUUAUAGAUGAAACCACUGAGACAUGGAGCAACUGACUGAGUAGUCACUGCCCCACCCCUGCCUGGAGCCUCACACAUGACUCGUCUCCUCUCAGUGACCACAGGAAAACAAGCUCAGGGCUCCCACUGAUUGUACAUUAUGAGACGGA
rnacentral:antisense_RNA from 1 species